GAUGAACGCUGGCGGCGUGCCUAAUACAUGCAAGUCGAGCGAACAGACGAGGAGCUUGCUCCUCUGACGUUAGCGGCGGACGGGUGGGUAACACGUGGAUAACCUACCUAUAAGACUGGGAUAACUUCGGGAAACCGGAGCUAAUACCGGAUAAUAUAUUGAACCGCAUGGUUCAAUAGUGAAAGACGGUUUGCUGUCACUUAUAGAUGGAUCCGCGCCGCAUUAGCUAGUUGGUAAGGUAACGGCUUACCAAGGCGACGAUGCGUAGCCGACCUGAGAGGGUGAUCGGCCACACUGGAACUGAGACACGGUCCAGACUCCUACGGGAGGCAGCAGUAGGGAAUCUUCCGCAAUGGGCGAAAGCCUGACGGAGCAACGCCGCGUGAGUGAUGAAGGUCUUCGGAUCGUAAAACUCUGUUAUUAGGGAAGAACAAAUGUGUAAGUAACUAUGCACGUCUUGACGGUACCUAAUCAGAAAGCCACGGCUAACUACGUG
rnacentral:rRNA from 1 species